rnacentral:rRNA from 1 species
UACGUAGGGGGCAAGCGUUGUCCGGAUUUAUUGGGCGUAAAGGGCUCGUAGGCGGCGUGUCGCGUCGGGGAGUGAAAGCCCGCUGCUUAACGGCGGGUUGGCUUCCGGUACGGGCAUCGCUGGAGUGCGGCAGGGGAGACUGGAAUUCCUGGUGUAGCGGUGGAAUGCGCAGAUAUCAGGAGGAACACCGGUGGCGAAGGCGGGUCUCUGGGCCGUUACUGACGCUGAGGAGCGAAAGCGUGGGGAGCGAACAGG